ACGUCAUUGGUUUGCAGGAGGUGUAUUCGGGGCCAUUGAGGUUUGUGUCGGAUACUAUAUUCGAUGACCCCUGGAGUCACCUGUUGAUGGCCACCUUAGCACCACGGAAAUACAUUAAGGUGUCAUCCAUCAGAAUGCAGGGUCUGCUGCUGCUCUUCUUCUCCAAACUGGAGCACGUCCCCUUCAUCAGAGACAUUCAGGCCACAUACACACGCACAGGCAUUUUUGGUUACUGGGUGAGAAAUACACACACACACACACACACACACACACACAGGACUCCACUGAUUUAGCAUUGCACUUGUGUUAUUCUGUCAGACUCACAAUGGACAGUUAAAACAGCAAAAAAAAGGAAUCAAAAUAGAUGCAGCAACAUUCUUUUUCCUCGUUUAAAUCUGAUGUUUUCAUUACCCAAAAUGCAACUCAACCGCCAACAGUCUGGUCGCAAAAUCGGGAGUAUGUUGCCAGUGGUGGCUAAUGUAGCCUCUAGUCUUAAACAGAGAUGAGGAGUGGUCUAUAGAGGUCUGGUAAGAUCACUUCUACUGCUCACUCCACAUCCCCGGAUUCUUUUUCCUUUUCAAACUUGCAGUCUUCAGCUCCAACUGAUGCUGACUCACAUUUUAUCACUUGAGGACAUCUAUCAGAUUUAACACCGCUUCCUCUGGAGAGCUUUACACAGUUUUUGUCUUCACAUAUGCAGUAGUAUUCCCUAACACUAGUAACCACACUAAUGUGUAAAAUUGGUGCAGUUCCCCUUUCGAUAA